GAUGAACGCUGGCGGCGUGCCUAAUACAUGCAAGUCGAGCGAACGGACGAGAAGCUUGCUUCUCUGAUGUUAGCGGCGGACGGGUGAGUAACACGUGGAUAACCUACCUAUAAGACUGGGAUAACUUCGGGAAACCGGAACUAAUACCGGAUGAUAUUUUGAACCGCAUGGUUCAAAAGUGAAAGACGGUCUUGCUGUCACUUAUAGAUGGAUCCGCGCUGCAUUAGCUAGUUGGUAAGGUAACGGCUUACCAAGGCAACGAUGCAUAGCCGACCUGAGAGGGUGAUCGGCCACACUGGAACUGAGACACGGUCCAGACUCCUACGGGAGGCAGCAGUAGGGAAUCUUCCGCAAUGGGCGAAAGCCUGACGGAGCAACGCCGCGUGAGUGAUGAAGGUCUGCGGAUCGUAAAACUCUGUUAUUAGGGAAGAACAUAUGUGUAAGUAACUGUGCACAUCUUGACGGUACCUAAGCAGAAAGCCACGGCUAACUACGU
rnacentral:rRNA from 1 species